rfam:Pontibacillus yanchengensis Y32 contig9, whole genome shotgun sequence.
CCGAUGCUACAACCGCUCAAAACAGGUCUUAAAGCCCGCGAGGCACCUGCAUGGCGAGUCUGAGUAAACAA